rnacentral:rRNA from 1 species
GCAAUUAUACCAGCACUAAUGCACCGGAUUCCAUCAGAACUCCACAGUUAAGCGUGCUUGGGCGAGAGUAGUACUAGGAUGGGUGACCUCCUGGGAAGUCCUCGUGUUGCAUACC